GGCAAGGAGUCUAACAUGCGCGCGAGUCGUUCCGUCAGAGACGGUACUCUGAACCCAUAGGAGCAAUGAAGGUGRAGGUGACCCUCGCGGGACCGAGGGAGGACGGAGGCGGCGUCAGCUUCACCUCCCGCACUCCCGGGGCGUCUGAUUCCUCUCUUUGAGGGAAGGCGCACCCAGAGCGCACACGUUGGU
rnacentral:rRNA from 1 species